rnacentral:lncRNA from 1 species
CAAACAAAAAUAAAUAUCCAGAUCUGCUAAGCCAUAUAUUUUCAGCAGAGUUUCCCAAAACUCAUAGCUUCUGCACAGUCUGCAGGUAACAAAUAUUGUAUUUAAAUAUCUAACUUCAAAGAGAAAUGACUGCAGAAGAAGCUCUGCUUUUCUUUUUAAUUAAAACUUUGAGAAUAUUACUGGAGUGGACCCCAAAAGUUAAAGAGCAGAAGGUAAAUAAAAUGUUAUGUGUCUUAAUGUCUUUGCAGUUGGACCUUACAAUUGCUCGAUCCCGUUAUCUUGGCUCCAAGAGCCAAGGACAUGCGGGAGAUGUUGUGCGUCCGUUUGGAGACGAAGCGGAUAGGCGCAGUGGUGGAGAUGACAAGGGUGUCCACGAAGUGAGAGACUUGCCAGGCUUUCGCGGAUCCUGCUCCUUGCCAGCAGCUGUGAAAAUGAACACUUCUUGCAGCAUGUCCUGGGGAGCAGCACCCAGCAAUCCUGGCUAGCACAGGAGAAGCGCAAGCCCCAGCCUGCAGGCCUUGAGUCACAACACAGAAAGAGGAGGAGGAGGAAGAGAGAGAAAGAGAAAACUAAAAACCCUGAAGGAUGGUUCUCAAAAAUCCUAAAGGAACCACAGGGAAUUCCUUUUGAGCGCCACAGCGAGCCAGCCAGCUGAG